AGAGMCGAGUURUCUGGGAARGCAYCUCAAAAUGGGUGRUAACCUCAUCUAAAGCUAAAUAUUGGCGAGAGACCGAWAGCGAACAAGSCCGUGAGGGAAAGAUGAAAAGAACUUUGAAAAGAGAGYUAAACAGUGCGUGAAAUUGUUGAAAGGGAAACGCUUGACACCAGUCAUGCGAGCGGAAAAUCAGUCUUUUGCGGUGGGGAGAUGUGUGGGUUCGGACCGCAAGGCCGGCCUGCGCUUCAUCUCUGCCGUAAGUGAUGCACUUUUUYGUUUGCAGGCCAACAUCAGUUUCUUCUGCUGGACAAAACUCUUGAGAAGGUAGCAGCUUAGGCUGUGUUAUAGCUCUUGAGCGAUACAGUGGAGGAGACUGAGGUUUUCGCAGCGCGUGCUCUCGGGCAAGGCUGAUUGGGUGCUAUGGGAUCGUUCGGUGUACAAUGCAUGCAUUUUGCGCCGUGUCUUUUCUAUACUCGCUCAACUCGGCUCUCCGCGCUAGGAKUGCACGCGGAGAU
rnacentral:rRNA from 1 species